ACGGGGAGCAGCAGGCGCGAAACCUUUACACUGCACGCCAGUGCGAUAAGGGGACCCCGAGUGCGAGGGCAUACAGUCCUCGCUUUUCGUGACCGUAAGAAGGUCUCAGAAUAAGUGCUGGGCAAGACCGGUGCCAGCCGCCGCGGUAAUACCGGCAGCACGAGUGAUAGCCACUGUUAUUGGGCCUAAAGCGUCCGUAGCCGGCUACACAGGUCCGUCGGGAAAUCCACCCGCUCAACGGGUGGGCGUCCGGCGGAAACCAGGUAGCUUGGGGCCGGAAGACCAGAGGGGUACGUCCGGGAUAGGAGUGAAAUCCCGUAAUCCUGGACGGACCACCGGUUGCGAAAGCGCCUCUGGAGAACGGACCCGACGGUGAGGGACGAAAGCUAGGGUCUCGAACCGGAUUAGAUACCCGGGUAGUCCUAGCUGUAAACGAUGCUCGCUAGGUGCGGCGCAGGCUACGAGCCUGCGCUGUGCCGUAGGGAAGCCGAGAAGCGAGCCGCCUGGGAAGUACGUCCGCAAGGAUGAAACUUAAAGGAAUUGGCGGGGGAGCAC
rnacentral:rRNA from 1 species